UACGGGGGGAGCAAGCGUUGUUCGGAUUUACUGGGCGUAAAGGGCGCGUAGGCGGCCACUGCAAGUCAGUUGUGAAAUCUCCGGGCUUAACCCGGAAAGGUCAACUGAUACUGCAGGGCUAGAGUGCAGAAGGGGCAACUGGAAUUCUUGGUGUAGCGGUGAAAUGCGUAGAUAUCGAGAGGAACACCUGCGGCGAAGGCGGGUUGCUGGGCUGACACUGACGCUGAGGCGCGAAAGCCAGGGGAGCGAACGGG
rnacentral:rRNA from 1 species